rnacentral:rRNA from 1 species
GUCCACAGCCGUACCACCCUGAAUGUGUCCAAUCUUGUCUGAUCUCAGAGGCUAAGCAUGGCUGGGCCUGGUUAGUACUUGGAUAGAAGUUAUUGUUAUGACUAAUCACGUAUUUGUGCC